UGAUCCCCAGGAUCUUAGGGCCACUAUCAAGCAUGAAUCCCGCAAUUGCACAGCACUCUCGCUACCAUCUUCAGCCCAAGAACUUCAACUGGAUAGGAGAUUCAGCAGCCACUGGCCCCUGUUCAUUGUCAGUGAAGAAAUCUGGGAGGCACUAUUUUUCCAGCUCUAGAGUCAGGCUCACUAGCCGUAAAAGAAGGAAAGCCCAGCAAUCAACCAAAGAGUAAAUGGUCUUCAAUCUUUGCUAAUUGAAAGACUGCCAUCAAGUUCCCGUUUGAAAAGCUCUGGCCAGGACCUUUGUUUGCAAAAGGCAAAACACGGAGACACCGAGAAUUCUUCAACAUUCUAAGAUUCUUUGGGGAUCGGUAAAGAUGAAGAGCUAAGGCCAGCUUGUUUGCAUCUCUGCUCAUCAAGCCUUAGACUGAGUUUAUCCCUAAGCGAUGCGUCUGAACCCUGGGUGUGGCUUGGGGCUGGAGGUCACUGGGCAACAAGGAGUUCCUUUCCCAGAGGAGUCAAAAGCCCAAGGUAUGGUGUAGUCGCCAUCAGAAGAUGGAUGAGGGUUCGCCCUUCCUGCCACAGUGGCAGAAUCAGGCAGGCCUGGGCAGCCUGUGCCAGAGGGGCGGCUCUGGGCAACCGAACCCGUCUUUUUAUUAAAGUUUAUGUCGUUUU
rnacentral:lncRNA from 1 species